GAAACUGAGGCUGAGAGGGUAGAGAACUUUGCCUGAGGUCACUCAGCAGGGACCCACCCAUCACAGUAAAUGCCAGCACUGCUGAUGCCAAAACAAUGUUAUUUGUAGGCCCUCGGAAUUUGUGACCUGAAGGAAGAAGAGCAGGGCCGUGGGAAGUAUGUAACCAGUGUCAUGCCCCUGGUCCCAAGGAAGCAGUGGCUUGGUAAAGAGGGGACCCCCGUCAAUAACUCCCUGUAAUUACUGGGCACCCACUCUGAGCUCCUCAGUGGAAUCCUAAGGUUAAUAAGACUGUCUCUAGCCACUGGGGCUCCCAGCCUGGAGUGAGGUAAGAGGAGUGGAGCCGGCUGGGGAGGGAGACGAACACAUACACAGAAGAUUCAGACACACUUGCAAUGUAUUGCUGGGGAUUCUCCAGCAUUGGCAUGAUGGAGAGGGUGGAGAAUCAUUUGACCGCCUCCGCCUAGGAUUGCAGAGUUCAGCUGGCCAUCAUCCACCAGCCGGGGGACUGUGCACAUCAGUUAACCUCUCCUCUCAGGCCUUGAAAAGCACCAGGCUUAGUACACGUUUGUUAAAUGAAUGCACUGCAGUUUUUUUGCUUGUUAAAGGCAGGUAAUAAUAAUGAUAUUGCUGACUAAGGGCUCCCAUCCACUCCCAGUGAGCCCGGUGCCCCCCCGGGCCUCCUCAGUGAGCUGAGGAGGCUCAGCAGUGCCUGCACGUCCCCUCGCCACAAUGUCAUGUGCCACCUCUUCAAAGGAGGGAUGUACCAGCUAGUGGACGUGACCUUGACUGCAAAGGGCGGCACGCAGCUGAUGUAAUGGUCGCUUAAGUGUUCACAAAUGUAAGUCAUUACUAUUAUAAGUGGUGGGUGAUCAAGUGGCUAGGGGUGCCAUCUUUAGCAAAUAAAAAUAUAGGACGCACAGUUAAAUUUGAAUUUCAGAUAAGAAUUUCUUAGCAUAAGUAUGCCCUAUGCAAUAUUUGGGACACAUUUAUAUCAAAAAAAACUCAAUAUUUAUCUGAAAUUCAAAUGUAACUGUGUGUCCUAGAUUUUAUCUGGCAGCCUUAUUGAUGGUGGCUUAUUGACUGGCUGGGAAUGACAGGGGUGUAGGCCAGGAAAUGGCUCUGUGAAGGCUGCCUAGAACUGAAUCGAACAUGAGGAUGAGUCAGUGUCAAGACUCCCAGUGGGGCCAUCGGAUCAUUACUGCAUGAUCGUCUUAAGCCUUUGUUAGUGAAUCCCUCAGACUCACGCCUUCUUCUCUCCAGGCCUGAACACCCUGUCCUACCUGGUCCUACCUGGAUGCUGGCCUCAGUAAGCUCCUGGGCUCAUUGAAGAUGAACCUAGCAGUAGUAUUUACACCACUUGUUGUGUGCCCACUGUGGGCCCGGCGCCAUGCCGAGUGCUCUAUGGAUGUGAGAUGAGAACACUGAAGCAGUUUUUUCUAAAGAUAGCUGCCUGGCACAGUGGCUCACAUCUGUAGUCCCAGCAUUUGGGGAGGCCAAGGCAGGUGGAUCACUUGAGGCCAGGAAUUCAAGACCAGCAUGGCCAACAUGGUAAAACCCCAUCCCUACUAAAAAUACAAAAAUUAGCUGGGCGUGGUGGCACCUGUAAUCCCAACUACUCAGGAGGCUGAGGCAGGAGAAUUGCUUGAACCCAGAGGCGGAGGUUGCAGUGAGCCAAGAUCACGCCACUGCACUCCAGCCUGGGCAACAGAGCAAGACUCCGUCUUGGGGAAAAAAAUGCAAAAAUUAGCCAGGCAUGAUAGUGGGCACAUGUAAUCCCAGCUACUUGGGAGGCUGAGGCAGGAGAAUCGCUUGAACCUGGGAGGCAUAGGUUGCAGUGAGCCAAGAUUGCGAUUGCACCACUGCACUCCAGCCUGAGUGACAGAGCAAGACUCCAUCUCAAAAAAAAAAAAAAAGCCAAAGAAUAUAUAUUAGGUUGGUGCAAAAGUAAUUGCAGUUUUUGCCAAUACAAGUAGUUUACAGAAAGAGAAAUAUCAGUGGCCCAUAAACAUGUAGAAAGAUGUUUAAUAGCACUCAUAAUUCAAGAAAUGCAAAAUAAAACUAAAAUUAAACAUCACUUUUUCACCUUUCUGCUUGGCAAAAAUGAAAACAUUUGCCAAUACUCAGGGAUGGUGAGAAAAACUACUUAUAUAACUUAUAUAACUGUUCCUCUGUAGAUUCUGAGUUCUAUCCUAGUAACAGUUCAUGUCACCAAAAAACUACACAUUAGAACCACCUUAGCUUAGCUGCCCAGGAAAAAUGCCUUCAGCCAAGUUCCAUUUUAAUGUUAUACGCUUGGCAUCUCUUGAUGGUUGGCAGAAGAAAUGACCACAUGAAAAGCUGCAUUUUUUUGUCCUGGAAAAACCACCACUAAAGGCAUUGUAAUCUACAUUGAGUAUAUAAGGAAGGGCCCACACAAUAAAUUAUCUGCAGUAUUUACUACCAGGAAAGAUUUACUUUCUCCUGAAGACCUGAUGUGUUAUUUUGCCAUACGAUGGUAAUCAUAUAAACCUCUGUUUCUCGUUUCUCCUUGGCUGCUAAGAAGCUCAAAAAUCACAUCUGAUGAUCCACUCUAGUGACAACAUAGCCAGGGCGAUUGGCAUCUGACUUCUCAACCCAACCUGACCUCAUAUUAGCUUUUUUCUUUUGUCUCCUCUCCCCUUCCAUUAGUUUCUCUUCUUCCACUUGCUGUUUAGUUUUCUAAUUCUAGCUUAACAAAAUUAUUAUAAAUGUGUGUUUUUGGAAGCUAUUUCAAAAUCUUUUGGAAGUAGAUAGGAUAUGUUACAAAUAGUCAAACUCCCUUAGUUUAUAGAUGAGAAAACUCAAGUUCUUUAGAAGUUAAAUGACUUAUUCCAGUGUUAAUCAGCUUAUAUCUGUGUGCACAUGUGACUCUCACUUUAUUGUAAGUGUCUUAGAAUUAUAUUUAUCUCUGAGACUCUGGUGGCCAGCUUUGAGCCAAGUACAUGGUAAAUUGUCAAUGUAUAUAUAUUGGUUGAAAAAAUUCUAAGUGCUGUGAGGAAAGGGACAUUUUUGCAGGGGAUAAGGUCGUAGUAGGUGCUCAUGAGAACUGAAUUCACAACAGGGCGUGGCCUCAGCCUCUGGCCUCACCCCACCACACCCUAGCAUCUCCACCACCCAGGAGUCUCAGGGCUGGGCUUCAUGCAACCCAUCUGCCCUACACCUGCCCGCACUCUGCCUUUGUCUCCACUAUUCCACUUUGGCCCUCUUGCCUUGUCCAGUGAGUUUCCAAAUAUUUCUCUUUUUUUUUGAGACGGAGUCUUGCUCUGUCACCCAGGCUGGAGUGCAGUGUUGCGAUCUCGGCUCACUGCAAGUUCCACCUCCUGGGUUCAAGUGAUUCUCCUGCCUCAGCCUCCAGAGAAGCUGGGACUACAGGUGCCCGCCAUCAUGCCCGGCUAAUUUUUUUUGUAUUUUUAGUAGAGACGGGGGUUUCACUGUGUUAACCAGGAUGGUCUCGAUCUCCUGACCUCGUGAUCUACCCGCCUCAGCCUCCGAAAGUGCUGGGAUUAGAGGUGUGAGCCACCGUACCCAGCUGAGUUUCCAAAUAUUUCUGAUUUCACCAGCGGGGGAAGACUGGCAGGCUCCUAUAUCCUCGAAGUAUCCUGCCAUGAGAUGCCUGCAGAGUGGGGAAUGGCAUCACCUUUCCAACCCUGUGCAGCACCCAGUGCGAGCUGCUUAUUAGUGGGAACUGGAGAGGAAGAGGAGGAAAAGGAGGACCCAUGGCCAUGGCUUUUUCUGUCCUUGUAACCCUCAACUGAUAUGUAUCCCAUACUUCUUGGUUGGGCAGAGGGGAGAGCAGAGGUUGACAGGUCACAUUUCCCUCAGUUUUCCAUCCUUCCUUCAGUGCUGGGAGAGAAAAGCAUACGACAUAGACAGGGAGGUCAAGCUCCACCACGCAGAUGAGGUGCAGGCCACCAGUCUUCCUCUGCCACAUCUCUUUCUGAAAAGGCAGCCUGUGCUGAGAAACCAUGACUGAGUAAGCCAAGCUUUGUUGGCCGCACCUGCCAAGCCACAGGGUGCCUCAGGCUUGGAGCAUCCCGGAGCCAGUUACAACCCAAGACUUCAGCCUUCUGGAAGGUGUUGGGUCAGCCACCCUGAAGGACGAUCCUGCCCAAGUGACAUGCUUUGCUCUUCCUUCUCACCCAGGACUUCACAUUCACCCUUGCAAUCCAUGUGGGGACACUGUUGGAUAGGAGGCGUGGUCCCAGCGUGGUCUCCCUGUCUGGGCCUCUGCCUAUGCCAAAUGUUUGCCUUACGCUGCACACUCAAGAGGUUCCAUGUAUACAGAUGGGAAUUCCAGAGCUACAGAAAAGGCAGCAAGCACCAUGAUUUAAGCUAACCAGUGUGGAUUCACACCUUCCUCUCUCUCUAUCAGUGGCAGAACUACCAGCUAGAGUAAGAAGUGGUUGAUCCAGGACCUAAACAUUCUGGAAACUCUUGCCCACUUCUGGGAGAAAUGACCCAAUCCAUAGUACUAAGCACACCUUAACUUUCGUAGGACGCAGGCAAGUUGUCAUACCGUGUGCCUAAAUAUAGAAAAAUGAUCCACUGGACUAAUAAAGUGUUAAAUAAAAUAUGUCCUGACUGUCUACUUUGACAACAUACUUUCAUAAUGACAAAACUUAAAAAUGUAUAAAGCUAUGGUUUUUAUAUAGUUGAAAAUUGACAAAACAGAAGACUAAAUUUACUUAUUAUUGCACAUGAUGGGCGGGCUAUGUUUGGUUGAG
rnacentral:lncRNA from 10 species